UACGUAGGGUGCGAGCGUUAAUCGGAAUUACUGGGCGUAAAGCGUGCGCAGGCGGUUUUGCAAGCCGGAUGUGAAAUCCCCGGGCUCAACCUGGGAAUGGCAUUCGGGACUGCAAGGCUGGAGUGCGGCAGAGGAGACUGGAAUUCCUGGUGUAGCAGUGAAAUGCGUAGAGAUCGGGAGGAACACCAGUGGCGAAGGCGGCCUUCUGGACCAGUACUGACGCUCAUGCACGAAAGCGUGGGGAGCAAACAGG
rnacentral:rRNA from 1 species